rnacentral:rRNA from 1 species
GACGAACGUUGGCGGCGUGCUUAAUACAUGCAAGUCAACUGAAGCAGUGGUAGCAAUAUCGCUGUGGAGGUGGCGCACGGGUGAGUAACACGUAGGUAAUCUGCCUUCAGGUCUGGCAUAACUCCGGGAAACCGGGGCUAAUAGCAGAUGAUGCAGCGGCUCGACAUCGAGACAGUUGUUAAAGCUAUGGCGCCUGAAGAUGAGCCUGCGUCUGAUUAGCUAGUUGGCGGGGUAACGGCCCACCAAGGCAACGAUCAGUAGCUGGUCUGAGAGGAUGAUCAGCCACACUGGAACGGAGACACGGUCCAGACUCCUACGGGAGGCAGCAGUAAGGAAUAUUGCUCAAUGGGAGAAAUCCUGAAGCAGCAACGCCGCGUGAGGGACGAAGGGCUUUUGCUUGUAAACCUCUGUAGGGAGAGAAAAAAAUCCCAAUCUUUGGGACAUGAUGGUAUCUCAAAAGUAAGCCCCGGCUAACUACGUG